AGCGAACGCUGGCGGCAGGCUUAACACAUGCAAGUCGAGCGGGCCCUUCGGGGUCAGCGGCAGACGGGUGAGUAACACGUGGGAACGUACCCUUUGGUACGGAAUAACGCUGGGAAACUAGCGCUAAUACCGGAUACGCCCUUUUGGGGAAAGGCUUGCUGCCGAAGGAUCGGCCCGCGUCUGAUUAGCUAGUUGGUGGGGUAAUGGCCUACCAAGGCGACGAUCAGUAGCUGGUCUGAGAGGAUGAUCAGCCACACUGGGACUGAGACACGGCCCAGACUCCUACGGGAGGCAGCAGUGGGGAAUAUUGGACAAUGGGCGCAAGCCUGAUCCAGCCAUGCCGCGUGAGUGAUGAAGGCCUUAGGGUUGUAAAGCUCUUUUGUCCGGGACGAUAAUGACGGUACCGGAAGAAUAAGCCCCGGCUAACUUCGUG
rnacentral:rRNA from 1 species